AAAAUAUUCUAUAAUAAUUUUAAUUAAUAAAAAAAUUUUUAAAAAUUAAAACAAAAUGUUUAGAAAUAAUUUACGUGUAAGACUGUUAUUUAUGUUAAAUCUAUAUACUAGUGUACGAUUAAAUUCAUCAGCAUCAGUAUUAAAAAAUCGAAUAAGUUUAUGUAAUCGUACCGAAGAAUCAUUAGAAUUAGUUCCAACAUGUUUUAGCAAAGUUUACUGUUAUGGCAAACUACUGGAUACCAUUCAAAUGGCAAAAAUGUAUCCCGAUUCAAAGACAUUCGUUGACAUGAAAAUGAAAUAUGAACCAAAACAAACUUUACAGAAAUUUGAAGAACUUAUGCAAAAACAUGCUGAUAAGCCAUCAACUGAUGUUUUGCAGGAGUUUGUUAAGAACAAUUUCGCUGAGCCUGGCGCCGAAUUUGAAAAUUGGGAUCCCGUUGAUUGGACUGAGAGACCACGUUUUUUGGAUUCAGUUCGUGAUCCGGAUCUUCGUCAAUGGGGUAGUGAUUUAAAUGGUUUAUGGAAAAUUUUAGGACGUAAAAUGAUUCCUGAUGUUGCUAAAAAUCCUGAACUUUAUUCAAUAAUUCAUGUUGAUCAUCCAGUUAUAAUACCAGGUGGUCGUUUUAGAGAAUUUUAUUAUUGGGAUUCAUAUUGGAUUAUUCGUGGAUUGCUUUAUUCUGAAAUGUUUGAUACAACCAAAGGAAUGUUAAAAAAUUUCUUAUCAAUUGUUCAACGUUAUGGAUUUGUACCAAAUGGUGGUCGUAUUUAUUAUUCAAAAAGAUCACAACCACCUUUAUUAGCAGCUAUGGUGAAAUCAUAUGUAGAUUAUACUGGCGAUGAUAAAUUUGCUAUAGACUCAGUUAAAACUUUAGAAUAUGAAUUUGAAUUUUGGAUGAAUAAUCAUUCACACGUUAUUGAUGGACAUUGUUUAGUUGCGUAUGGUGAUAAAUCGAGUGGUCCUAGACCUGAAUCAUAUAGUGAAGAUAUUGAAACUGGUCAUUAUUUAGAAACAGAAGAUGAAAAACAAGAAUUAUAUAGUGAAUUAAAAGCAGCGGCAGAAUCUGGUAUGGAUUUUUCAAGCCGCUGGUUUAUAACAUCAAAUGGUACAAAUGAAGGAAUGCUAAAAGAUUUAAAAACAAGAUCUAUUAUACCAGUUGAAUUAAAUGCAAUCAUGUUUUGGAAUGCGAAAAUUAUUGCAGAAUUUUAUUCAAAAGCUGGGGAUGUAAAAAAAUGCGCUGAAUAUGAAGCAAAAGCUCAAGAUAUUUUAAAAGCUAUUGAAGCUGUAUUAUGGCAUGAAGAUGUUGGAGCAUGGCUUGAUUACGAUUUAAUAAAUAACAAAAGAAGAAAUUAUUUUGUGCCAACAAAUUUAUCACCACUUUGGAUGAAAUGUUAUGAUAUCACUAAGUCUGAACAUAUAUCUGAACGUGUUUUAAAAUAUAUAGAAAAUGUUGGUAUAGAUAAAUAUCCUGGCGGUGUUCCAAAUACAUUAUUAAAUACUGGAGAACAAUGGGAUUUCCCAAAUGUAUGGCCACCAAUGCAAUAUAUAUUAAUCAUAGGUUUAGAUAAUUUAGGAACACCAGAAGCAAAAAGAUUAGCCGAGAAAUGGACUAAAAGAUGGGUACAAUCGAAUUUCGAGGCAUAUAAAUCAUCACAGCAUAUGUAUGAGAAGUAUAAUGCGGAAAUUUUCGGCGGUUAUGGCGGAGGUGGUGAAUAUGAUGUUCAAGUUGGUUUUGGUUGGUCAAAUGGUGUUAUUAUCGAAUUAUUAACUCGUUAUGGCCAUUUAUUAAAGCCAGCAGUGAAUGGUAACUCUUCAUUAAACUGAAAAGCUCACAAAUAAUAUUUAGUGACAAUAAAAUAAUAAGUCAUCUCAGUGCUGUGUUUAAAAAUUUAAAAAUAAUAAAAAACAUUAUAAUAAAGACAAAACAUGAAACAAAUAAAAAACGCACAUAUUUGUUACGAAUAAAUAAAACCCACCUCGCUGUAGUAUAUAGAAUUAUUAAAUAUAUAACAAUUUUAUGUUUUGUAUUAUAAAUAAUAUUCAAAUAUGUAUAUAUUUAGUAAAAAUUGUUUUAAAAUUAAAUUAUUUAUAAUGUCGCACAAUCAACUAAUAAAUCAAAUAAUAAUUAUAAGGAUAAUAAUAAUUAAGAAGGAACAAAUCAUCAAAUUCACAAUAAUUUAAAUGCAUUGUUAUUAUGUACUUUAUGUUUAAUAUCUGUCAAACGUGAAUUAUUGUUUAACAAUAAAAUUCUUAUAAUCAUUGUACAUCAGUUUGGAACAUCAUAAUAUGGAACGAAUGCUAAUCGAUUGUAAAAAUAAAUAAAUAAAUAUAAUAAAAGUAAUGGAAAUAUUUUCAGUUCAACAAGUAAAUUAAUUGGUAGUAUGCUGGUUGCAACAUUAGUAUUACCUAGUAUACGUAAAUAUAUUUGGUAAGGAUUUGGUAAUCAUUUCGGAAGUAUUUGCAGGCAGAAAAUACAUAUUUUAAUUUGUAAAAUAUUUUGUACUGUGUCUUAUGUUCUGUUUAGCCCUUUAACUUUCUGUCAUCAAAAGGAUCCAAAUGACACUUUGGUGGUUUUAAAUUUAAACCAAAUGUUUGCUUUUGGUGUGAUUUUUUUUUUAAUUGAUAAAUGUUUUAAGAAUAUUAUUAUGUAUUUAAAAAAAAGCAUUUAGAGGCUACCAAAAAUAUUGUCCUAAAAUUUAAAUAAGCUAAUUUAGACAAAUUUUAAUGUGUAAUUAGCAUGCUAUUGAUUUAAUUAAUUGAAAUUUUUAAAAAAAAUAUUUUUAAUUUUAAGUAAAAUUAAGAAUAUCGAAUAUGAAUAUUGUUAUUGUAUGAAUUUGCUUGUUGCUAAAUACAUUUUCAUUAAUUUAUUAACAUAUUUUUUACAUGAAAUUUUCUUAACUGAAACUUUUCUUAUCAUUUAUAAGUAAAAUUAAUUGUCUAAAAAAAUUUUUUGUAAUCAUAGUAAUUAAAGAAAUUCACAAACAAAUUAAAUUAAUAAAAGAUAUUUUCAAAGUGAAUUUUCACAAACAAUCAAAUUCGUAGAAAUUUAAAAACUACAUUAUAUUUCAAUGCGAAAAUAUUAUUUACGCGAUUGGUUACUAGAAUUAAUUCAAUUUAAAUGUAUAAUGUGAGACGAUCAAUCUAGAAAUAUUUAAUAAAAGAGUUGAUGAAAAAUUUUAGGGAAUUCUAUUAAGCACUAUCAUAAGUAAAUCGAUAUUUUAUAGAUUUAUUUUUUUCACAGAAUAGAAAUGUGUACUUAAUUAUUAAAUAAAGCUUAUACCAACGUAAUCUGCAUUAUGGUUAAAAUAAAAAUAAUAUGAUAAUAAAUUUUAAAUUAAGAAUAUUCGGAAUGCUUUACUGUAUUAUUAAAUUUAAGUAGAACGAUUUAAUCUAUUAAGUUGUAGGAAAAACAUUUAAGCUUUAAAAAAUUUUAUAUAUUAUUUUAUAAUAUUAAAUCAAAAAAUGCAGAAAAAACAAAAUAAUAUUAAAAUAUCAUAAGAAUUCUCUAUGUUAAUUAUUUAUAAACCAAAAAGAACAUUUUAUGCUUGCGUUUUAUUUGUUAAGUUUAUUCAAAAAAAAAAAAAAAAUUAAUUCUCGAAAUAUUAGAAUCGUUAUAUUAAAAAUUUAUUUAAAUUAACUUAAAAGAAUUGCAAAAAACAACAAGAUCAACACCAAAUCAAAUUUUAUUUGAUUUUUUAUUUAUUCUUUUCUUCUAUUUUAGAAUAUAAGUAUGAUAUAAUUACAAUAAUAAUUG